AAGAAGAGCAUGCCUACAUCUAUAUUUUGUUACACUUUCUUUUACAGGGAUGAUGGGAAGUGUAGAACCUACGCAGCUGGAAGGAUGAAGAAAGAGGGGGUUAGACAUCCACACUAAGAUUUAAACACGGAGACAACACACUUCCUGAAGGCUCCUAACUUGUAAAACAUUCACUACUCAUGAGAAUGUUGUUUUUCCAAGUGAAGGUCAAAUCCUGAGGCUUAUUUUCUACUGAAGUUUUUGAACUAAGGUGGAGUUGAAGAUGUGCUGAUGCUACGCCAGUGCUUGGAAGGGCAAUGUAGCUGUAUAAAGAGCAUGAAGCCAGGAGUGGCAUUACCACAGGAUGAGGCUGAAAACUCGAAUCCUCGGGGUCAGGCAUUAAAAGAUAACUGA
rnacentral:lncRNA from 1 species